rnacentral:rRNA from 1 species
UACGUAGGGGCCUAGCGUUGUCCGGAUUUAUUGGGCGUAAAGAGCUCGUAGGCGGUUGGGUAAGUCGGGUGUGAAAACUCCAGGCUCAACUUGGAGACGCCACCCGAUACUGCUCUGACUUGAGUUCGGUAGGGGAGUGGGGAAUUCCUGGUGGUAGCGGUGGAAUGCGCAGAUAUCAGGAGGAACACCGGUGGCGAAGGCGGGAUCCUGGGCCAGUACUGACGCUGAGGAGCGAAAGCGUGGGGAGCAAACAGG